rnacentral:ncRNA from 2 species
CGCGCCGCUGGCGCCGAUUUGAUGUUCAGCUUGCGGGCGCCUAACAAAUACCGCUAAAGAGAUCUUGAACGCUCCCCA